UUGAACUGGGGCCACCGUGUCCAGCUUCAGGACAGAAAAGUCAAGUACUUUAACAUCAAAGCCAGCUUUGUUGACGAGCACACGGUUUGUGGCGUUGCCAAAGGUGGGAAAGAGAUUCUGCUAUCAGCUGACCACAUCAUCAUUGCUACUGGAGGGCGGCCGAGAUACCCCACGCACAUCGAAGGUGCCUUGGAAUAUGGAAUCACAAGUGAUGACAUCUUCUGGCUGAAGGAAUCCCCUGGAAAAACGUUGGUGGUUGGGGCCAGCUAUGUGGCCCUGGAGUGUGCUGGCUUCCUCACCGGGAUUGGGCUGGACACCACCAUCAUGAUGCGCAGCAUCCCCCUCCGCGGCUUUGACCAGCAAAUGUCCUCCUUGGUCAUAGAGCACAUGGCAUCUCAUGGCACCCGGUUCCUGAGGGGCUGUGCCCCCUCCCGGGUCAGGAGGCUCCCUGAUGGCCAGCUGCAGGUCACCUGGGAGGACCGCGCCACCGGCAAGGAGGACAUGGGCACCUUCGACACCGUCCUGUGGGCCAUAGGUGUCUCAGAUAAUAGACUGGGAACUUCAGUGAGGAGGAUUUCCUGUCUGCAGAUGUGCCGAUUACAGCGCUGAGUGAAGACAGUCAGCCAGCACCGCUGCGGGCUUGAAUUCGCCCGCUGAGUUAACCAGUUGUGGCCUGAAUCCCUGGCUGUCUAGGGGAGCAGGGCCAGGCUGGGGUGUCCUGAGCAAACGCCUCCCAGUGCAAAGGCUUCUAAGUGCAGUUAAGUUUAGAUUUGGUUUUAAAGAAGGGACAGACUGCCUCUGGACUGCAGCCCUGAGAAACUGGAAGUUGAGAUCGUCGUGUGCCCCUUUGGCGUCCCC
rnacentral:sRNA from 1 species